rnacentral:tRNA from 40 species
GCGCCAAUAGCUCAGCUGGAUAGAGCAACUGCCUUCUAAGCAGUAGGUCAGGGGUUCGAGUCCCUUUUGGCGCGCCA